rnacentral:rRNA from 1 species
GACGUAGGUGGCGAACGUUAUCCGGAAUUAUUGGGCGUAAAGGGUGCGUAGAUGGCCUGAUAAGUUAGCAGUGGGAAAUCGAGGCUCAACCUCGUGGAAGCUGGUAAUACUGUCAGGCUCGAGUGCAGGAGAGGUUAACGGAACUCCAUGUGGAGCGGUAAAAUGUGUAGAUAUAUGGAAGAACAUCAAUAACGGCGAAGGCAGCUAACUAUUCUGUUACUGACGUUGAGGCACGAAAGCGUGGGGAGCAAAAAGG